GGAGGUGUCUGGACGCCUGGUGGGUCCCCCGGUCUUCAAAACCGGUGAGGGUGCGAGAGUGCCCUGGCGGGUUCGAUUCCCGUCCACCUCCG
rnacentral:tRNA from 1 species